rnacentral:lncRNA from 1 species
CCUUGAUAAAGAAAAAUAUUAGCAAUAAAAUAAGUAGCCUACUUUCAUUGAUUAUUACACCCCCAAAAUUUUGAUUGGUAGUGUAAUUGAUUACUAUUUUAAAAAAAUUUUGAUUGGUAGUGUAAUUGAUUACUAUUUUAAAGAAACAUUCUAGUAGGCGAGUCUAAGUAAGUUUAUGUAAUAAAACUGAUUUGGUAAAUUUUAUGUAAUUAAAAAUAGGGUCUACCAAACUUUGAUGAAUAGUUUAAUAAGGAAAGAAGCUGUUCAGCACUAGAUAAUUUUUAAUUUCUUUGUGUAUAUUAUUAGGAAAGGAAAACUUGAACUUGCAGGUGUCUGUUUACGUGACAUUCGUGUGGUAAUUAUAUGCAGAUUUUCCUAGUAAAUAUUUAAACAGGGAGAUUGUUCCCCUCUCCAGUUUCACAGCAGCACCUGUACAGCACAGUGUUCACAGGAGGACAGCGGGAAGUAAUUUUAAGUGUUACUUCUAAAUCAUGCAUGGCUUGGAUCCAUAUCUGCCUCAUUGUUCUGUGUGCCAUCCUGCAGCCGGCCAAGAUCUUUACCAUAAUGACAUGGUUUCAUGCCAGUGGUGUGAGGGAAGUAACGUGACUGAAGUGGACCAGAGGCUGUUGCAUCAGCAGAGUUUCUGAGGGACUGCAGGGCUGUCUGGCACAUGAAGAAAAGCCAGACUCCCAGAAUCCUGAAAUAAACAACUUAUAUUUUUUCUUCUUACACUUACAGGGACCAGAUACAGAUUGUCAAGAUUGUUUGCCUAGUCAAUGUAAUACCAGAAUUAGCAUGCAAAGUGACAACAGACUGUCAAAAUGUAAACAUUUUUGAUAAUGAGCCAGAGUUCUGAAAGUGAUUUUUCUGAAGUCAAGAUUUUCAGUCUUAAUUAUGUUGAUUAAAUCGAGACUAAUAAUUGAUUUUUAUUUUGUGCUUGGCACAACAGAAAGAUAACAUGAGAAAAAGGAGUUCAUGUUUUGUCAUUUUUAUUUUGUGGUCUGCUAAUAAAAAAGUCUGCCAGAAACUGCCAGUCUGCUUUUGUCAAACACAUCUGCCCUUUUUUCA